rnacentral:rRNA from 1 species
UACAGAGGUCUCAAGCGUUGUUCGGAUUCAUUGGGCGUAAAGGGUGCGUAGGCGGCGCGGUAAGUCGGGUGUGAAAUCUCGGGGCUUAACUCCGAAACUGCAUUCGAUACUGCCGUGCUUGAGGACUGGAGAGGAGACUGGAAUUUACGGUGUAGCGGUGAAAUGCGUAGAUAUCGUAAGGAAGACCAGUGGCGAAGGCGGGUCUCUGGACAGUUCCGUGA